UACGUAGGGGGCAAGCGUUGUCCGGAUUUAUUGGGCGUAAAGAGCGUGUAGGCGGUCAGGUAGGUCCGUUGUGAAAACUCGAGGCUCAACCUCGAGACGCCGAUGGAAACCAUCUGACUAGAGUCCGGAAGAGGAGAGUGGAAUUCCUGGUGUAGCGGUGAAAUGACGCAGAUAUCAGGAAGAACACCCGUGGCUAAGGCGGCUCUCUAGUACGGUACUGGACGCUGAGACGCGAAAGCGUGGGGAGCGAACAGG
rnacentral:rRNA from 1 species